GGGGAGCCUCGUGAAGCCUUUGCUUUCCGGGGCCGGUUUGGUGGUUUGAUGGAACGAUUGUGAGGUGCUGAUCCACCCUUGACCUUUGUCCCUGGGGGGAAGGGUCGGCUUUUCGCUUUUCUUCUUCUUUUUCUUUGUUUCGUUGCGUUUUGGUUUGUUUGGUCUGCUUCUGUUUUGUUUCUUGUUUGGCAGGUUUGCUCUGGCACGCUUCUAUGCUCUGGCGCUGGCGCGCUUGUCGUCAGAGAAUUGGCUUUCUGCUCUGUUCGCACUCAUCCGAGUAAUGGCUUUCCGCUCUGGCGCGCUUGUUCGCACUCCCCUGCUCUGACGUUCUUCUCUGCUCGAGCGCGCCUCUCUGCCCUGUCACGCUUCUCUGCUCUGGCGUGCACUCCGCUGCUCUGGAGCGACUUCGCUGCUCUGGAGCGACUUCGCUGCUCUGGAGCGACUUCGCUGCUCUGGAGCGACUUCGCU
rnacentral:lncRNA from 1 species